rnacentral:misc_RNA from 1 species
GAUGAAGAACGUAGCGAAAUGCGAUACUUGGUGUGAAUUGCAGAAUCCCGUGAACCAUCGCGUCUUUGAACGCAAGUUGCGCCCGAAGCCAUCAGGUUGAGGGCACGUCUGCCUGGGCGUCACAUAUCGUUGCUCGAUGCCUAUCGCAUUGCGAUAGGACUUAGGGCGAAUGAUGGCUUCCCGUGAGCGUUGUUGCCUCGCGGUUGGUUGAAAAUCGAGUCCUUGGUAGGGUGUGCCAUGAUGGAUGGUGGUUGAGUGAUGAUGCUCGAGACCAAUCAUGGGUAACUCCACCAGAAUUGGGCUCGGUGACCCACAUGCGUCCCUUGGAUGCUCCCUAAGGAGACCUCAGGUCAGGCGGGGCUACCCGCUGAGUUUAAGCAUAUCAAUAGCGGAGGA